rnacentral:rRNA from 1 species
GACGGAAGGUGCAAGCGUUGCUCGGAAUCACUGGGCGUAAAGGGCGCGUAGGCGGUCAGCACAAGUCAGUUGUGAAAUCUCCGGGCUUAACCCGGAAAGGUCAACUGAUACUGUGCGACUAGAGUGCGGAAGGGGCAACUGGAAUUCUCGGUGUAGCGGUGAAAUGCGUAGAUAUCGAGAGGAACACCUGCGGCGAAGGCGGGUUGCUGGGCCGACACUGACGCUGAUGCGCGAAAGCCAGGGGAGCGAACGGG